GGGGUCAUGGUUAUAUGAAUUUGCCAGACAGACAUGCACACCUUACAAUUGUUACAUAUCUACCAAAUAUAAUCUACCUGUAACUUUAAGCAUAUGAUAAACUGACAAAACAAUGCAGUGUUUCAUAAAAAUGAACCAUGAAAAUGAGGUCAAGGUCAUAUAAAAUAUGGCAGAGAGACAUGUACAUCUUACAAUCAUUCAAUUCACUAAAUAAAGGGGCCUUACUGCGUACAGUAUCCGAAAAAUAUACCAAACCACAAAAACUAAACAUUUUCAUAGUUCCUUAUACCCUGCCACAUUCGUUAUGCUAAAUAUAUAUAUGUACCAAGUCGAGAGCCUAUAAUUCAGUGAUUGUCGUUUGUUUAUAUGUAACAUAUAUGUUUUUCCAUAUUUUUUUUACAUAAAUUAGGUUGUUAGUUUUCUCGUUUGAAUUCUUUCACAAUUGUCAUUUCUGAACUUUUUGUAGCUGACUAUGCAGUAUGGCCUUGUUCAUUGUUGAAGGCUGUACGGUGACCUUGAGUUGUUAAUUUCUGUUUCAUUUGGUCUCUUGUGGAGAG
rnacentral:lncRNA from 1 species